ACUAAUGUAGCCUAGUGGUUAGGGUGAAGCGCUGCUUCCUAGACCACCCAGGUUCAAAUCCUGGUCUCAAUA